rnacentral:rRNA from 1 species
UGCGUAGGUGGGCUUGUAAGUCAGUGGUGAAAUACUGCCGCUUAACGGUAAAACUGCCAUUGAUACUGCAAGUCUUGAAUAUGGUUGAGGUAGGCGGAAUGUGUCGUGUAGCGGUGAAAUGCAUAGAUAUGACACAGAACGCCGAUUGCGAAGGCAGCUUACUAAGCCAUUAUUGACGCUGAGGCACGAAAGCGUGGGGAGCGAACAGGAUUAGAUACCCUGGUAGUCC